ensembl:lncRNA
AGGGUUUCAUGUGACUGUAUUCUACACUUGCAUCCACAUGUAAAAUCCUCAGGGCUGAAAGAUAGGUCCACUACUGAGACCAUUGAAUCACCUGAGGGACCCCCUGCUGAACCUGUGGAAGAAGCUCCUGAAUCUAUCGUGGAGGAAGUAAUUCAAGCCACUAAAGUUGAAGAAGCAGCUCGGCCACCACCAGAACCAGAGACUGUGGAAGAGGAGCCUGUUCCUGUGGAAGAAGAACCUCUGGCAGUAGACGAAGAGCCCACUUCCAUAGAAGAUGAAGUAGCUGAGGAGGAACCAGAGGUUGAAGAGGAGCAAGAAGUUCCUGAGGAAGAACCAGAAGUUGUGGAGGAAGAGCCUGAGGUUACAGAGACUGUUCCAAUUGAGGAAGAGGCUUUUGAGGAGGCAGUGGAAGAGCCUGCAAAAGAGGAAGAGGUCAUACCAGUUGAAGAAUCAGUUGAGGAGGCUGCACCAGUGGAAGAAUCAGUUGAGGAGGCUGCACCAGUGGAAGAAUCAGUUGAGGAGGCUGCACCAGUUGAAGAAUCAGUUGAGGAGGCUCCUCCAGUGGAAGAAGCAGUAGAGGAGGCUCCUCCAGUGGAAGAAGCAGUUGAGGAAGUGUUGGAGGAAGAGGCUGCACCAGUAGAUGUAGUAGAAGAUGUACCACUGAAAGAAGCAAUAGAAGAAUUAGCUGAAGAAGUUGCACCUGUGGAAGAAGCGGUUGAGGAAGUGUUGGAGGAAGAGGCUGCAUCAGUAGAAGAUGCACCACUGGAAGAGGCAAUAGAAGAAGUAGUAGAAGAGGAUGGACCAGUGGAAGAAACAGUAGAGGAAGCCGCACCAGUAGAAGAAGCUGUGGAGGAGGUGGUACCAGUAGAAGAUGAUGUGGAAGAGGUUGUACCGGUAGAAGAUGAUGUGGAAGAGGUUGUACCGGUAGAAGAAGCUGUUGAGGAGCUUGUACCGGUAGAAGAAGCAGUAGAGGAACCUGAACAAGAGGAGGAAACUGAAACGACAGAACCAGAGGAAGAAGUAGAAACACCCCAAGAGACAGUUGAGGAUUCAGUCUCUGUAGAAGAAACUGUAACAGAAGAGGAAGUUAUAGAGGAAACAGAUGAGCCAGUUCAGGAAGAUGAGGAUGUACAAGACUCCAUGUCAGAGGAAACAGAGUUUGAGGCAGAGAAUAUGGAAGAAGAGGAGGAUGUAGCUGCUGAAGAAGAGCAGGCUGAGGAGGACGAAGCAGAGGAAAUUAGCCAAACAGAAGAACAAAUUGAAGUAGAGCCUACAGAAACAUAA